GGCGCGGCUGCCGCCGCGCCGGCGAAGGGGGAAACCUCCGGUGUCCUGGCUGCCCUGCGACGGUCGUGCAGCAGAGGGGCCCCUGCGGCCCCCUCUCGCGGCGUGCAAAAGGUCGGUGACCCACCCGACCCGUCUUGAAACACGGACCAAGGAGUCUAACAUGUGUGCGAGUCAUUGGGCGCACUAAACCCAGAGGCGCAAUGAAAGUGAAAGGAGGGUGCCUCGCUCUUCGCGGGGCGGCGGCGCUCUCCGGGGCCGAUCCCUGACCGACGGAGACCGCGGCCGCGGUGGACCCACACCAAAGCGAGGUCGCCUAAAGGCGGCGCUGGCGGGGUGAGACCCUUUCCCCCGCCGCGCUCGCUGGCCUCGUGGGCCCCCGGCCGGCUCCCUGGUCCGGACUGUAACAGGUCCGCCUGUACGCAGGGGGGCGCAGGCCCGGGACUUGCCAUGCGACGCGUGCGCGCGAAUCUGUUGUUGGCCUCGCCGGCUCUGCUUGGGCUCUCGGUUGGCGUGCCGCGUGUCUUUGGGCGGGUCUGUGGUGGCGGGGCUCGCGCUCCUCCCCCGGGCUCGUCCGGCGCGGUGGCGCUCUCCGAUCCUGCUCUGUCCGGCGUGGCCUAGCGCGCUCGCUGUCGGCAAGUACCAUGAGCAGACAUGUUGGGACCCGAAAGAUGGUGAACUAUGCCUGGCCAGGAUGAAGCCAGAGGAAACUCUGGUGGAGGUCCGCAGCAAUUCUGACGUGCAAAUCGAUUGUCAGAGCUGGGUAUAGGGG
rnacentral:rRNA from 1 species